UGGGGAAUAUUGGACAAUGGGCGCAAGCCUGAUCCAGCAAUGCCGCGUGAGUGAUGAAGGCCUUAGGGUUGUAAAGCUCUUUCGCCCGCGACGAUGAUGACGGUAGCGGGAGAAGAAGCCCCGGCUAACUUCGUGCCAGCAGCCGCGGUAAUACGAAGGGGGCGAGCGUUGUUCGGAAUUACUGGGCGUAAAGGGCGCGUAGGCGGCCCCUUUUGUCGCGUGUGAAAGCCCCGGGCUCAACCUGGGAGGUGCGCGCGAAACGGGGGGGCUUGAGUUCGGGAGAGGAGCGUGGAAUUCCCAGUGUAGAGGUGAAAUUCGUAGAUAUUGGGAAGAACACCGGUGGCGAAGGCGGCGCUCUGGACCGAGACUGACGCUGAGGCGCGAAAGCGUGGGGAGCAAACAG
rnacentral:rRNA from 1 species